rnacentral:rRNA from 1 species
AUUGAACGCUGGCGGCAGGCUUAACACAUGCAAGUCGAACGAUGAAACUCUAGCUUGCUAGAGAAGAUUAGUGGCGGACGGGUGAGUAACAUUUAGGAAUCUGCCUAGUAGUGGGGGACAGCUCGGGGAAACUCGAAUUAAUACCGCAUACGACCUACGGGUGAAAGGGGGCGCAAGCUCUUGCUAUUAGAUGAGCCUAAAUCAGAUUAGCUAGUUGGUGGGGUAAAGGCCCACCAAGGCGACGAUCUGUAACUGGUCUGAGAGGAUGAUCAGUCACACCGGAACUGAGACACGGUCCGGACUCCUACGGGAGGCAGCAGUGGGGAAUAUUGGACAAUGGGGGCAACCCUGAUCCAGCCAUGCCGCGUGUGUGAAGAAGGCCUUUUGGUUGUAAAGCACUUUAAGCAGGGAGGAGAGGCUAAUGGUUAAUACCCAUUAGAUUAGACGUUACCUGCAGAAUAAGCACCGGCUAACUCUGUGCCAGCAGCCGCGGUAAUACAGAGGGUGCGAGCGUUAAUCGGAAUUACUGGGCGUAAAGCGAGUGUAGGUGGCUCAUUAAGUCACAUGUGAAAUCCCCGGGCUUAACCUGGGAACUGCAUGUGAUACUGGUGGUGCUAGAAUAUGUGAGAGGGAAGUAGAAUUCCAGGUGUAGCGGUGAAAUGCGUAGAGAUCUGGAGGAAUACCGAUGGCGAAGGCAGCUUCCUGGCAUAAUAUUGACACUGAGAUUCGAAAGCGUGGGUAGCAAACAGGAUUAGAUACCCUGGUAGUCCACGCCGUAAACGAUGUCUACUAGCCGUUGGGGUCCUUGAGACUUUAGUGGCGCAGUUAACGCGAUAAGUAGACCGCCUGGGGAGUACGGCCGCAAGGUUAAAACUCAAAUGAAUUGACGGGGGCCCGCACAAGCGGUGGAGCAUGUGGUUUAAUUCGAUGCAACGCGAAGAACCUUACCUGGUCUUGACAUAGUGAGAAUCUUUCAGAGAUGAGAGAGUGCCUUCGGGAAUUCACAUACAGGUGCUGCAUGGCUGUCGUCAGCUCGUGUCGUGAGAUGUCGGGUUAAGUCCCGCAACGAGCGCAACCCUUUUUCUUAUUUGCCAGCGGGUUAAGCCGGGAACUUUAAGGAUACUGCCAGUGACAAACUGGAGGAAGGCGGGGACGACGUCAAGUCAUCAUGGCCCUUACGACCAGGGCUACACACGUGCUACAGUGGUAGGUACAGAGGGUUGCUACACAGCGAUGUGAUGCUAAUCUCAAAAAGCCUAUCGUAGUCCGGAUUGGAGUCUGCAACUCGACUCCAUGAAGUCGGAAUCGCUAGUAAUCGCAGAUCAGAAUGCUGCGGUGAAUACGUUCCCGGGCCU